UACAGAGGUCCCAAGCGUUGUUCGGAUUCAUUGGGCGUAAAGGGUGCGUAGGCGGCGCGGUAAGUCGGGUGUGAAAUCUUGGAGCUUAACUCCGAAACUGCAUUCGAUACUGCCGUGCUUGAGGACUGGAGAGGAGACUGGAAUUUACGGUGUAGCGGUGAAAUGCGUAGAUAUCUGGAGGAACACCGGUGGCGAAGGCGGCAUCCUGGACCAACACUGACACUGAGGAGCGAAAGCCAGGGGAGCAAACGGG
rnacentral:rRNA from 1 species